rnacentral:rRNA from 1 species
GACGAACGCUGGCGGCGUGCCUAAUACAUGCAAGUAGAACGCUGAAGGAGGAGCUUGCUUCUCUGGAUGAGUUGCGAACGGGUGAGUAACGCGUAGGUAACCUGCCUGGUAGCGGGGGAUAACUAUUGGAAACGAUAGCUAAUACCGCAUAAGAGUAGAUGUUGCAUGACAUUUGCUUAAAAGGUGCAAUUGCAUCACUACCAGAUGGACCUGCGUUGUAUUAGCUAGUUGGUGAGGUAACGGCUCACCAAGGCGACGAUACAUAGCCGACCUGAGAGGGUGAUCGGCCACACUGGGACUGAGACACGGCCCAGACGCCUACGGGAGGCAGCAGUAGGGAAUCUUCGGCAAUGGACGGAAGUCUGACCGAGCAACGCCGCGUGAGUGAAGAAGGUUUUCGGAUCGUAAAGCUCUGUUGUAAGAGAAGAACGAGUGUGAGAGUGGAAAGUUCACACUGUGACGGUAUCUUACCAGAAAGGGACGGCUAACUACGUG